UACAGAGGGUGCGAGCGUUAAUCGGAAUUACUGGGCGUAAAGCGUGCGUAGACGGUUAUUUAAGUCGGAUGUGAAAGCCCCGGGCUCAACCUGGGAAUUGCAUUCGAGACUGAAUAGCUAGGGUGCGGUAGGAGGGAAGCGGAAUUUCCGGUGUAGCGGUGAAAUGCGUAGAUAUCGGAAGGAACAUCAGUGGCGAAAGCGGCAUUCCUGGAC
rnacentral:rRNA from 1 species